GACUGUCCAUCUUCUAAAAGAUGGCAGCGUAGAUUGCCAAAAUGUCUCAGGAAUGACUGAUCCAGUGUGGACACCAAGACAUAAUGAUUCCGCCACUCAGUGCUUCGGUUUACUCCUCUCUUCUUGGAUCAUGAACCAAAAUAGCUUUAUCAACCUGCUUACUCUCAGUUGGAAUUAAAAGCCUUUCUUUAGUGGACAGCCUAGAAUAGCCUAGAAGGAAGCUGUGUAUGGUAUGCCUGGGGAACGCUCUCUGGUCUUAAGAAGAUGUGGUGCAUCUGGAAAGUAGAAGCUACACUCUUCCUCCAGUGGAGUCCUCGUGUCAGCUGAACUUCAGGGUAUCUCACUGAAUCUGGAGCUCACAGAUUUGACUAAAUUACCUGGCAAGCAAGCCCAGUCUUCUUCCUGUGGCCAUUUUCCCAGUGUUCCAAUUACAGAAACAGGAAGACUCCAUGCAUGAUUACCGCUUAGCAAAAUUCUGCAGCAUUGAAAGAACAAGAAAUAACGUGGUCCCAGAAAGCUUUAAAGAGGAGAAGGUAUUUCAACUGUGUACUGAGGGUUGCGUGGGCUUCCCAGGUUGCUUUCAUUGCUCUGGGUUGAAGAAGGAUGGACACAGAGGAUGGAAAAUGCUGAUGGAAGAGGCAAAGCAAGGUAAGGGAAGGACAGCCUGCAGGGUGGUGGCUUGCAUUUGGGGAGGUGAUGUCAUAGAGAGAAAGGAAAGACCAUGAGACUAGUGGGUCAAAAUGAAGGGGCCCAGUUACAUAAAUGCUAUUCAUCCUGGGAGGGUAUCAGAGAGACUUGGGAAAGUUGCCUAGUUUCAACAGCAGAGUGACUUCACUGGCUUUCUACUAUAGGUGGCACCAUCCUGAAGCAUUAAAGGAGGUAUUUUUGGUGAGAAUAUGGUGACAUCACUUAGGUAAUUGCUUGGUAGACAUGUGAAAUAUCUUGCAAGUUGAAGGAAACUGCAAAGGCUAUGAGGAUUACUGUUUUCAAAAUUUUUUAAAAAAGAAACAAGGAGGACAAGUUUUUUUUUUGCAACCCCAAUACUUAUUUUUAAGAACACAGGCAUAUUGCCCUCCACGAGCUUUUCUUUUUUGGUCUGGAACAUUCUUGUUGACAGCAGAAAAUAUUCCUUCUCUGCUUUCUAUGUAAAACUAAGAUAAGACAUUGUGCGAAAUAUUUCUUGUUCUUCUAGAUAAUCUUCUGACACUGUUUUUGAUUAUAGAUGUUACUAAGAAAUCAAAUAUGAAACAGGGAUAUGACCAAAAGAGUAUUUAUGACUUAAGUAUCCAUUUCGGACUAAGCUUGCAUUAAACAAAUUCGAUAUCUUUAUGUAAACGCAUCACUUUUGUCAAGUAUGGUCCCAUUUCUACUUUAAAAGGGAUCUCUUGUAUAAGUAACUAUUUGUGGUUUGAGGUGUGUGUGUGUGUGUGUG